rnacentral:lncRNA from 1 species
UGUAUGAUUUAGCUCAUUUCCUAACCAUUUUCUGGAGGGGAACUCUUUCCUAGUUUAAAAAUUAUUGGCCAAAUUUGACCACUAAUUUGAAAGACAUUUUUUUCAUUUCAGUCAAAUAGAUGAUGUGUGAUUUAUAAAUAUUACUACACUAUCAUUAAGAAAUGAGCAAGUCACAUUUUUGGCUUAUAAAUAAAUGCCCAUAUUAUAUUUUUAAUUCUUAACUCUUGAUUAAUAUGACAAAGUGGCCCUUAGUAACAGAUUAAGUCUACAAGUGGAGUUAUUUAUUUAAAUAACUUGAAGUAAGAAAAGUUUGUUUAGGCCACUUUUGACAAUAUUUCUAUAAUUACGCUAUGUCAUAUAUAAAUAAGUAUAUCCCUGUGUUCUUGCUUUUCUUUCAUCAGUAUUCUUUUCAUACCCAUUAUCUGACAAAACACACUUACUCAGAAUAUAAGUUGUCAACUUUGGUAAGUGCUAUGAAUGGCUUGUCUGGUUUGGUGCCAGAAUUUCUGAUAUGAGAACACUGCAGAUAAGAAAAUACUUUUUGAAACAAAUUUUUAAAACCCCAAAGUACUCAUAGUAAGUUUUUCUUUAAAAUUGGUGUAAUGUAGUUAUACAUAAAUUUUAGUGUAUUUAGUAUAUAAAUAUAAUCCUAUUUGACUGCCACUUCUAUACAUACUACCCUGUAUUUAUAAAAAGUAUUUUUAGUUUACUGCCUUUGUUUUUUCUAGGAGCUCUGUACAUAAUAAUAAUCUGCACUGUUCAAAAUUAGCCAAAUACUAAUUGGAUCUGCAAAAUUAUUGGUUGCACUAUAGUUGAUUACUUGCUUCUGCUUUCAUUCAUUGGAAUUAUUUAUACUUCGAAUUAGACAAAUGGUGAUUAUUUUAUGUAAUGUGGCCAAUUAGAAACUAACCAAAUAAGAAAACAGAAGCUGUAGAAAUUAUGUAAUUUUACAAUAAAAAAGGUGAUAAUUCCAAGGCCAAUUUGAAGUGGAAAGUUGUCAAUAUUGUAAUGAUUUUGAGCUGUGCAGUCACUUAACCCUUUUUAAAGGCAACAGUCUUAGGCUUAAAUCAGAUGACUUGAGUUUCUAUUAUAUAAGGCUUCUGCUACUUGCUUGCUUUGCACCCUCAUUAAUUCAUCUUUGCAGCAUAAUAACAAUAUGUAUUUCACCAGAUUGUUGUAAAGAUUAAGUGAAAUAAUGCUUGUGUGAGGAGCCUAUGUAACCUCUGACUAUAAACAGUUUAGGAGUUCUCAGGCAGCUGCUGGAGGCAUGUAAGAGCGCCACAUCCAGCUGCACUCCAAUCUGAAAGGCCUGCUUCCUCACAAAAAAUCCGAAUAGACCUCUUCCAUCACUAGCUGUAGAAUGUGGCCAAACACAAUGGAAUAGGAUGUCACUGUGAAGAGAACAGAAUGCUUAGGUUAGAAGAACUGAAGCCUGACCUGUGAGAUAAGCAGAUAAAGGAUUUGGUGGAACACACUGAGCAGAAUCACUGUCAAAAUAAAGCCUAUGAAGUUCCUAGCAAAGACCAAAAAUAAAGGCUGAGUCAAGGUAUUGUAAAUAGACAUCUGACUAUUAGGCCCAGACUCUGACGCUCAGAGUGGGCAAAACCAGGAGCUGUCACGGAAUGGGCUCUGCGUUGGGGCCCAGUUUCAAGAAGGCCUCAGAACAACUUUGGAAGAUGAAUUGAUCCUGUUGCAUGAGCCUGGAAGCCUUGUUAAGUCACUUGACCUCCAGUCAGGUCAGCGUAUGGUUAGCUACCCGGACACAUCUUUCUACCAGACACUCUGGCCUUCAGAUUCCAGAGGAGCCAGUGGGCAGGGGUGUCUGUUUUUCACUGACAUUUGCAGGGUGGGUACACCUCUAGAGAGAAGGUCACAUCUCUUGCCAGGAAAUGCAGAGUCUGAGCAAUCGAGGGAAAGGCAGAGGUUAGCUCAACUUCAUCUGCCAUGUGGACCCCCAUGCUGAGCUGAAGAGUGUUCUGGUUAGAAGCAGAUUGUGGGUGGCCAAUGCCUUGCCUAUGGAACUAUAUCAUGGUUAAUUCUGGAUCAUCAGGAAAUCUAAUGAAUUUGACCUGAUUCAAUAAUGUCUUUCACUCAGUAAUCUGAUCACUUCUGUUCCAGGAGUAGCCUUCCUCAGUCUGCCCUAAUCUAAUGGUACGAAAACAGGCAUGUUUAAUUUUAGCCUAUUGCAAAAGAAGACCCAGGGCAGUAGACUGCAUCUACCUUAUGCUUGUUUUUGGAAGGAAAUUUACACUGGCCACGGUCAAUACUCAGCGUGUGACAAUGGUCACUGUCAAGGCCUGUAGGCCCACGCUGGAGAGAGCCUGGCACCUCACAAUGCAAUCCAAUCACUCCAGCUUGUCACAUAUUCAGAAGUUCAGAAAGCUCAGCAGUGACAGGUUUAUUUUUCAGAAACGCUGAGCUACAAAUUACUAAUAUAUCAGGCAGCCAGAAUCACUGGGCUGACUGCAGGUCUGAUUACCAUGGGUAACUGACACUAAGCCAUUCUGGGAGAUCCUCUCCCUUAAAUAGUUACAUUUCAGUGCUGCUGAAAUUCCGUGACCAAUCAGAUGCAGACAAUAGGUAGGGGCUUCUGAUUAGCACUCUGAUUUCCAGCUGUGCUCGAAGUGACUCAGGAGAUCAGUGGAAAAGUAGUUCAGUCACCCCAAAAUGAUAGGUUCCUACUCCUUGUUCCAUUCUCUAUCCCUGGAAAGCCACCAUGGCCCUUCCAAGGCAUUGAAUGUGGCACACUGAGAAUUACAGCAGCCCAGUGCUUUUCAAAGCACAACUGCCUGGGUCAAACAAAGAAACAAAAAAUAAGACUCUAAGGUCACUGCAUUGCUCCCCAAGUGCCCUUGAGACUGAAUCACCCUGGACUUCAUAUCAGAUUUCUCCCUGUUCUGGGGCCACCAAACAAUUCUGAUGGUGGUGGCUAUCCUUAUCAAAACAGUAAAUGUCAUUCCCCAACUGCUUAAACUAUGCUUUAUUUAUCAGUGAGGUGGUAGCCUACCUCAGGAUCACUUUUAUAGUAAUUUCCAUGGUCUUACUAUUUAAAGGAAUGUUUCCAGAAGUAUCUACAUCUGAAUUCACCUGUCUACUGCUAUUACCUAGCCAGGGAUAGUAAGAAAGACACUUUUGGUUGGAAUUUCUCUGGUGUCACAAAAUACAUAGGCAUUAUGACUUGUUCUGCCUACCUUGUAACUGCAAAAUUCACACAGUAUUUUUCCACACGGAAUACCCUCUUCUAUAAUGACUACUGCCACCCUCUUUAUUUCACUGCUAAGAUUGAUACCUCAAAGAGGUAUAAGCCACCCCCAAAAAGCUUAGAGGUGACAUUGAUCAAUGUGUCAAAGACUACUAUAGGCCCACUGUACCAAAUAAUAUGGCUAAGUCCUGACACCGGACAGGGGUGGUGGUGUGGGGGGUGUCUUUUAGGUGGGAGAGUUUAUGGUUCUCAGUCCUACAUAUCUGAGCCAAAUUAAAAUUUAAACACUUUCUUGGAUCCAUUCAAGUUUUCAAGAUCACAAACCCCAUUGUGUUCUUCCUAUAUUUAUCUGUUAAGACAUAGCUUUAAAACAUUUUUUUUUUCUUUUGAGUCAGAGUCUCACUCUGUCACCCAGGCUGGAGUGCAGUGGCA